rnacentral:rRNA from 1 species
GACGAACGCUGGCGGCGUGCUUAACACAUGCAAGUCGAACGGAAAGGCCCUGCUUUUGUGGGGUGCUCGAGUGGCGAACGGGUGAGUAACACGUGAGUAACCUGCCCUUGACUUUGGGGUAACUUCAGGAAACUGGGGCUAAUACCGGAUAGGAGCUCCUGCUGCAUGGUGGGGGUUGGAAAGUUUCGGAGGUUGGGGAUGGACUCGCGGCUUAUCAGCUUGUUGGUGGGGUAGUGGCUUACCAAGGCUUUGACGGGUAGCCGGCCUGAGAGGGUGACCGGCCACAUUGGGACUGAGAUACGGCCCAGACUCCUACGGGAGGCAGCAGUGGGGAAUAUUGCACAAUGGGCGGAAGCCUGAUGCAGCAACGCCGCGUGCGGGAUGACGGCCUUCGGGUUGUAAACCGCUUUCGCCUGUGACGAAGCGUGAGUGACGGUAAUGGGUAAAGAAGCACCGGCUAACUACGUG